UUGGGAGCAGAGCGACUGAAAGCCCUGCUCCCCAUCUUGCUGAGCCGGGCAGAGGGGACAGAAAGGUGGACUUACGUUAAAGGUGAUGUUACGUAGAUGGGAGUAUGCAGAGCGGGUGAUGUUACUGAUGUGAGAGUGGAAAGAUAGUGAGCUGUCGAGGAUGACACCCAGACUCUUAACCUGAGGGGAAGGGGACACUGUGGAGUUGUCUAUGGUGAGGGAGAAACUGUCAGCUUUGGAGAGAGUGGACUUGGUACCGACCAGGAGGAGUUCUGUUUUAUCGGAGUUGAGUUUGAGGAAGUUUGACGUGAACCAGGAUUUAAUUUCUGAGAGGCAGUGGGUGAGGGAGGAGGGUGGAACAGAGGCGUUGGGUUUACUGGAGAGGUAGAGCUGGGUGUCAUCCGCGAAGCAAUGAAAGUGUAUGCCAAAUUUACGGAAGAUGCUGCCAAGGGGAAGGAGAUAGAUGAUGAAGAGGAGGGGCCCCAGGACAGAACCCUGGGGCACACCUGAAGUGACGGGGGAGGGCUGUGAGGUGAAGGAUUUGAGUUGGAUGAACUGAGUGCAGCCAGUGAGGUAUGAGUGAAACCAGAGAAGGGGGGUAUGAGAGAUGCCUAUGGAGGAGAGUCUAUGGAGGAGGAUGGGAUGAGAGAUGGUGUCGAAGGCUGCACUCAGAUCAAGUAGAAUGAGGAUGGAGAUUAAACUGGAGUCAGCUGCCAUGAGGAGGUCGUUGGUGAUUUUGAUGAGGGCUGUUUCAGUGCCAUGGAGGGGACGGAAACCGGACUGGAACUGUUCGUAGAGGCUAUUGUGAGUGAGAUGGGUGUGGAGUUGAGAGGCAACAGUUUUUUCUAAAAUUUGGAAAUGAAGGGGAGGUGGGAAAUAGGGCGGAGGUUAUUGAAGUCGUUGGGGUCUGAACCAAGUUUUUUCAGGGUGGGACUGAUGGCUGCAGAUUUGAAGGAGGUGGGAACAGUUCCAGUCGACAGAGAGGAGUGAAUGAUGGCUGAGAUGAGGGGGAGUAGAGAGGGCAGACAGGAUUUGACCAGAGGAGUGGGGAGGGGGUCCAGCUGGCAGGAUGAAGGUUUAGAUUUGGUAAUGAGGUCGGCGAUUUCUGAGGGGUUAGGGAGGAAAAAGGUGGAAAAAGGUUUGAGAGGAGGGAGCAGUUCAGAUGAGGGAAGUGGUGAGGAUGUGGAGCCCAGGUUCUGGUGGAUUUUACUGAUUUUGUUAUUGAAAAAACUGAAGAGGAAGUCGCAGGUGUCUGAUGAAUACAUGUGGGGAGGAAAGCAGUCUGGGGGUUGAAUGAUACGGCUGUAAACUGAGAAAAGAGACUUGGUAUUUCUAGCAUUAGAGCAGAUAAGUCCAGAGUAGUACUGUGAUUUGGCAUGAGAAAUGGAAUCCUUGUAGAGAGAUAGCUGAGUUAUUAAGAUGUCUUUGUUGAUGGUGAGACCGGUUUUACUGAAAAGUCUUUCUAGCUGUCGAUUUUUGGAUUUCAUGGAAUGGGGAUGGGGGUAAACCAAUGUGCAGACCGGGUAAAGGAGACAGAGCGGGAUUUGACAGGAGCAAGUGAGUUGAGUAUGUUGGACAGUCCAUUGUUAUAUUGUGUGACAAGAUAAUCAGGGGUGGAAGUGGGAUUCAGGGUGAGGGAAGUGAUGUAGGAGGAAAGGGAGUCCAAGUUAAUAUCCUUAAUGUUGCAGUGUGAGAUGAUGCGGGGGGCUUUGGAGAUGGAGAGCUGAGAGUGAUGUUAAAUGAGAGGAGGGAGUGGUCCGUAAUGUGUAAUGUGUCGGCGGUACAGUUGGAGGGGGUGAGACCUGAGCAACAAAUUAAGUCUAUUGUGUGGCCUUUGAUGUGUGUGGGGAAAUCUGCAAACUGUUGAAAACCAAAGCUGUCAAGUAGUGAAGAGAAGUCCAUGGUAAGGGGUAGGGCAGCAUUGUCCAUGUGGAUAUUGAAAUCUCCAAGCAGAAUUAUAUUGGGUGAGAGAGUGGCAAGGUGAGUAAGCAGGGCAGAGAAUUCAUUUAAAAAGUCACUGUGAGGUUUGGGAGGACAGUAUAUUGUGGCGAUGAUUGUGGGGACAGGUCCAGGUAGCUGACACGCCAGGCAUUCCAGUGAGGAGAGAGGAGGCACAGAAACGGGCAGGACCUUCCACUUCUUGCGAUAGAGUAUCGCGAGACCUCCCCCACGACCCGACUCACGAGGUUUGCAAAUCUAAACAAACCCUGCCGGAGAGGAGUCAUUCAACUGGGAGAAGUCAUCAGGGACUUGCCACGUCUCAUUUAGGCAUAAAAAGUCAAACUUACGGUCGAAGAGGAUAUCAUGAAUGCGAUGUCCUUUACCGGAGAGGGAUCUGAUGUUAAGCAGACCAAAGCUGACGCUCGCGGUGUUGUGGGGAGUGCUAGCCGACCUUGCCAGGUCGGCUAGCCUGUGGUCCACAGACCAGCCGGUGUUUCUGUGUGGGCGACGAGUGGAGGACCAGAAAGAGGUAAUUCCCUUGGAGCUGCCAGAGUGGAAAGCCCGCCGAGACCCAUGGUGGAUGUACCUCGGACGAGGCAGGAGGGCGAUGUCCGGGUGGAGAUGUAGAGCUGCCGGUGGAGAUCCAGGCUUCUGGGAGCGGAGCCUGAGGAACUCUGCCGCCGAGUACUGGAGGAGUCCUUCCACGGGUAGAUGGAGGAGCGACAGGGCAGUCCACACCAAAACAACCAGAGAUUAGAGAUUAGCCUACCCGUCUAGACACACAAGGCGGUAAGAGCUCAAGUCUGGUGGAUUUAUAGGAUAAGAGUCCCAGGGAGAACAGCUUUUACUGAGGGCUGGUCUCCAGAGCACGGAAGAGCGCUAAAAAAGUUAAAAGUUUACCGGUGAGCAGCGGCAGCCAAACGCGCUAGCAUCCACUCAAGCCGGAAGUCCCGGAAUUCCAGUCUUAUAAGGAAGACUGACCCUCUGCUAAGAAGUAACUGUCAUGUGGGGCCAUGGAAAUUGUUCUUUUGCUUUUUGACAGAGAGAAAGAUGUGACCCAAGAGUUCAUUCCUUACUCCAAUGCUAAU